CUAGCGACUUCAGAGUUUGAUCCUGGCUCAGGACGAACGCUGGCGGCAUGCCUAACACAUGCAAGUCGAACGGAGUUCUUUUAUUAGAUCCCUUCGGGGUGAAGAUACUAGAACUUAGUGGCGGACGGGUGAGUAACGCGUGGGUAACCUGCCCUUUUGUGGGGAACAACUUCGAGAAAUUGAAGCUAAUACCGCAUACUCUUCUUUUAUCGCAUGAUGAGAGAAGGAAAGAUGGCCUCUGAACAUGCUAUCGCAAAAGGAUGGACCCGCGUCUGAUUAGCUAGUUGGAAGGGUAACGGCCUACCAAGGCGACGAUCAGUAGCCGGCCUGAGAGGGUGAACGGCCACAUUGGGACUGAGACACGGCCCAA
rnacentral:rRNA from 1 species